GGAGGGAUGGCCGAGCGGCUUAAGGCGCACGCUUGGAAAGCGUGUGUACGUGAAAGCGUACCGUGGGUUCGAAUCCCACUCCCUCCGCCA
rnacentral:tRNA from 5 species